GAGAGGUGCUCAGACAGUACCAAGGUCAGAAGAAGACGGAGAAGGAUGUCCCGAGCCCUAUUACUGCUACUGCCACAUUUUGGUCGAAAAAAUGGCACUGAAGCCGGCAGCAGUAUCUGCAUGGUCAAGAUUUACUGCAUCCCUCCCUUACUGAGGAGAAGAGGAAACACAAAUUGAAGAGAGUUGUACAAAGUCCUAAUUUCUAUUUCAUGGAUGCAAAAUGCCCAGGCUGUUAUAAAAUUACCACAGUUUUUAGCCAUGCUCAGACAGUAUAGAAGUGCUUUGUGUUGGGUAUUCAACAGUGCUGUGUCAGCCAACUGGAGGAAAGGCCAGGUUAACAGAAGGGUGUUCAUUUGACAGUCUACUGGUGACAGCUAUUUGUACCGAUGAAAAGGUCUCAAAUUUGAUUUUGUUUUAAAUCUGUAAGACCAUUCUUUGAGGAUUCCUUCAACAACAACUUCCCAAUCUUAUCAUGCCUGUUGUAAUUUGCAUGACAAUAAGUCGACCAGCGCCACCUAUCUUCUUGACUGAUCACUUGACAGCUGACCACUGCGGGAGAAGGGCGUGGGACAGAUGUGGUGAAGUUGCAGAACUGAACAUUUCAUUCAACCUUAAAACGUGAGGGCUUGAAAAGGCGGAUAAAAAAAUUGACUUCCUUGACGAGAUCCUGUACUUAAUUGCAUCUGGAGGAAUCUCCCCAAGUCUUCUGGGUGUGCUUCAGGACAUGACUUCAGCAGAUUUAUGCACACGGACACACGCGAUCUCUCUCUCUCUCUCUCUCUCUCUCUCUCUCACAAACACACACACACACUGCAUUUACAAUAUGGUUAAAAGCGUACGUUUUGUUCCUGUGAUUUUCAAACAUUUUAGGCCCAUGUGUAAGAUUUUAACAUAUAGAAAUGCAUUAGUAAGAGCCAUUGGGUUUCGUUUUCAAAUAAUACCCAGAAAGCGAUCUUUUAAAAUUAUAUAAAGAAAAUGAUCACAUUUGUUUUUAAAUCAUAUCUUGAAAUGGAUCAUAUUAUAAUGUAA
rnacentral:lncRNA from 1 species